UUUCCAAACAGAAAACAACCCGCUGCCGGGUGGUUAUCUGUGUUCAGAAGAGAGCAGGGUGCUGGGCUCCGCUGAGCUUUCGGAGGAGUUUGCCAGUACCAAGUGCUGCAGGGGAUUCGGUGGAAAUGGGCUGAAAGAACCCAGAAAAAGCAAAACAUAAGAAAACGUUGGCUCAGCGCCUUCUGGCUGCUUACUGGAAAAAUAUUUGCACAGUUGUGUGAUGAGGACCACACCAUGGCACAGGGCGGCCACGAAGCCUGCACGCUGGUGGACAGAAGACCUGCACGCACACCUGAUGCUGGCCAUAGGAGCCGGUCAGCAGGAGCACGCAGAAGGAAGUGUUACUCAUCCAUUAGGGACAGGAGCAAACGGGACUUGGAGUACAGAGACAUUGCUGGAUCAAAGGGACGGUUCCUAGGGGCCACGUAAGCCUGAAUCAGAGCCUGCCCUUCCCGGGGGUCUCCUUCCAUGCAGGGACAUGCACUCAGGGAGCUUUGUCCUCCUGAAGGCUGCGAAGCCCUGUAAACAGCAGUGUUUGAGUGCCAGACUGAGCUCAGAUGCCGCUGGAGCUGAGUCUCAGGCAGGUCCUCCCGAAGCUCUGAUCCUCCUCGGCUCCAAUGUGUAUUUUCUCAGUCUCCCAGGGCCUCCCGGUGGGUGCCGCGGCAGGCCUUCAUUAGAGAUGCCUACGUGUCUGCCUAUUUCAGGGGCGGCAGAACGGCUCCAGACAAAAUAAAAUACGCCGUAAAACUCCAGACGCCUGGUGCGUCAGGUUGUGUUUCCUUAAAAACAAACAAACACAAAUAUUUUACAAUGCCCUCUUUGCUAUCCUGCUGAUAUGCACAUACACUAAUAAAAUGCAUAAUUCAAAACCUA